rnacentral:rRNA from 1 species
UACCAGCACCCCGAGUGGUCGGGACGUUUAUUGGGCCUAAAGCAUCCGUAGCCGGUUCUACAAGUCUUCCGUUAAAUCCACCUGCUUAACAGGUGGGCUGCGGAAGAUACUAUGGAGCUAGGAGGCGGGAGAGGCAAGCGGUACUCGAUGGGUAGGGGUAAAAUCCGUUGAUCCAUUGAAGACCACCAGUGGCGAAGGCGGCUUGCCAGAACGCGCUCGACGGUGAGGGAUGAAAGCUGGGGGAGCAAAUCGG